rnacentral:lncRNA from 1 species
GUGCUACUACCAGUAUGAAUCAACCUCUUACCUCAUAAAUAGUGAGCAAGCCCAGGGGCUUCUGGGCUCUUCUGUAGGACAGUCUCCUGUGUGAUGGAUCGCCUCUAACGUAAGGGUGGCUCUUGAAGUUAUGCCUGUUUUGGUGCUGUGUGAUGCCUUGCUGAUACAGACCUUUGCCUGUUCUCUUAAUUGGUUGGAAUCAUGGUGAGAUGACCUUGAAUGUCACCAAUACUUCUAGCAAGAAUGGUUUAUAUUUAAGUGAAUUUGGCACUGUGGUACGCUCGCAGCUUCUUUGCAUGCCAUGAAGGUCCUUCAGCAGGGGGAGGAGGAGCCAAAAGGAGGGAGGAGUGUGAACAGAGAAUUAGACUUAACUUCCUGCUGACUUUCCUGAAACCUGAGGGUAUGCUCAAAGCACUGAUGGAAGAUAUCUACUCUGAAGUGUUUCUGAUAAAAAUGGAAGAAAAUUGUCAAAGGAUUGAAGAAUGAUAUUUAUGCCGUAUAUUAAAGCUUAUUUUACAUGCUAAACUGGAUUGGGGAAUUCAUUUCUCAUAGAAGCUGUUGACAGCUCUAACUUAAGAAGCUAUUUUUCAUAGAUCAGAUUAUCUGCUGAAGUGACCGUCUUCAAACUGAGUGGUGAGGAGAGCUGGGUAAAAUGGAGUAAUUACAGUUCUGUACUGUAUACUGCUGAAUAAAGAAUGUAGAGAUCAUGAGCCA